rnacentral:rRNA from 1 species
GCCUACGGGAGGCAGCAGUGGGGAAUAUUGCGCAAUGGGCGAAAGCCUGACGCAGCGACGCCGCGUGAGGGAUGAAGGUCUUCGGUUCGUAAACCUCUGUCAGCAGGGAAGAACGGUCACUGUGCUAAUCAGCAGUGAAUUGACGGUACCUGCAAAGGAAGCACCGGCUAACUCCGUGCCAGCAGCCGCGGUAAUACGGAGGGUGCGAGCGUUAAUCGGAAUUACUGGGCGCAAAGCGCUCGUAGGCGGUAUGUCAAGUCAAGGGUGAAAUCACCGCGCUCAACGUGGGAACUGCCUUUGAAACU